rfam:Pseudoxanthomonas suwonensis 11-1, complete genome.
GGCCCCGUAGCUCAGCUGGAUAGAGCGUCCCCCUCCUAAGGGGAAGGUCGCACGUUCGAAUCGUGUCGGGGCCG